rnacentral:other from 1 species
CUGGGGCUACCCGGUGCGUCAGGUUCUACAUCCCCGGGGCCAUAAGCACUCCUGCGGGAGCUGGCUCUGUCUUGGCCGUGGUCAGGAUAACCGGCGCCCACCUAUGCAAAUAGGUCUCGGGAGGAUGCUAACGCCAACGGCCAGGGUGGCUCCACU